UGUUUCACGCGGAUUCUCUGGCUGCCGGUUCCUCAUCAUUCAACUCUGGUUCUUUCUACGCUUGAAGCACAACACCUCCGUAUUCGACAUACACAUAUUCGUGACGCUCAACAUUUUAUAUUUUGGGUACGUGCAAAAUAUACUCGCUGAUUAAUGAUAAGUGAUGAUCUGCCCAGGGAAUGCUAAGAGAACGUAUGUAGAGAGUAGCUGGCACACGGGAGGGCAAGUAACUCUCCGAGUGGAAGCUUGGAGAACACGCCUAAAAUCAGUAACAGAUUUCUGCCAUUUCCAGCCUAGAGACACUAAAACGAAACGACCCAAGUUCCUGCGUAAAGUUCUGCCUUUGUCAGGGCAUGGGUUUGGUCUUGUGCCUUUUCAGAACUGGCCUAUUUACGGGCCGACACAGUUUCGAGAAUCGAUGAAUCGAAGGCGCGCAGCCUUAUCGAGCCGGUGAGAGACGUACGCGCGCAUAAACGUAUCUCCCUCCGCGUGUGGAAACAGGAGGCCGAGACAGGUGACGAGAGAACAGUUUAUCAGGGAUGAUUGCGAUUAUCAUUCAAAGCAAAUCGUCUUUUCCCACUGCUUUCGAGGAUUUCUACAAUUCUCUAGUCGCUCACAUUUUUCUUUUGUUUCUUCAUUUUGAUCGUUGAGUGACGAACAGUUUUCAUUCGUAGUGUUUCAUUUGUUACGAGAAAUUUAGAUGGUUUCUUUUCGGAUUUCUAAAAAAUAUCUAUUAAUUGGAUAAUUGUUCUUUUUUAAAUUGUGAUUUAGUUUUUGGUUUUUGAUCAAUGCAAAGUUUCAGUUUGUUAACGUUUCAUUUUUUAGAGGGAAUUUGGGCGAGCUUUUUUUUUAAGGAUUUUGAAGUGGAAAUGUAAGUGAUAUUUCUUUGGGUAAAUUAUUGAUUAAUUGUUGGUUAAUUUGAAAAUAAGUUUGUGAUUGGUUUCUAAUAGUUGUAACUAAAUGUAGUAGAGUUCUAUUUGAAAUGGAAAUGAACAUAACGGAUAUUAACUAUUAUACUUACUAUAGUUACUGAGAAAAUUAAGAAGUAUACUAUUAUGAAAAUAUGAGCAUUAGAAGUAUUGUCAUAUUUA